rnacentral:rRNA from 1 species
CUACGGGGCGCAGCAGUUAGGGAUAUUCGGCAAUGGGGGAAACCCUGACCGAGCAAUGCCGCGUGAAUGAAGAAGUAUUUCGAUAUGUAAAGUUCUGUUGUUAAGGAAGAAAGGUACGAAUAGGAAAUGAUUCGUAAUUGACGGUACUUAACCAGAAAGCCCCUGCUAACUACGUGCCAGCAGCAGCGGUAAUACGUAGGGGGCGAGCGUUAUCCGGAAUUAUUGGGCGUAAAGGGUGCGUAGGCGGCCUGUCAAGUCCGAGUGGAAAGCCCACGGCUUAACCGUGGAGGGUGCUCGGAAACUGAUAGGCUUGAAUCCAGAAGAGGCAAGUGGAAUUCUAUGUGGAGCGGUGGAAUGCGUAGAUAUAUGGAGGAACACCAGUGGCGAAGGCGGCUUGCUGGGCUGGUAUUGACGCUGAUGCACGAAAGCGUGGGGAGCAAACAGGAUUAGAUACCCCUGUAGUC